rnacentral:rRNA from 1 species
CCUACGGGUGGCAGCAGUGGGGGAUAUUGCACAAUGGGGGGAACCCUGAUGCAGCGACGCCGCGUGGGUGAAGGAGGGUUUCGGCGUGUAAACUCCUAUUGUUAGGGAAGAAGAUGACGGUAUCUGGCCAAUAAGCCCCGGCUAACUACGUGCCAGCAGCCGCGGUAAUACGUAGGGGGCAAGCGUUACCCGGAUUUACUGGGCGUAAAGGGGGCGCAGUCGGCAAUGCAAGCCAGGAGUGAAAGCCUAGGGCCCAACCCCGGGACUGCUCUUGAAACUGCUUGGCUGGAGUACGGGAGGGGCAGGCGGAAGUCGUGGUGUAGCGGUGAAAUGCGUAGAGAUUAGGAGGAACACUGGUGGCGAAGGCGACCUGCUGGACUGUGACUGACGUUGAGGCCCGAAGGCGUGGGGAGCAAACAGGAUUAGAUACCCGGGUAGUC